AAGUUGCAAAAACAGCACAGUAGUUUCCAAUAUAUACCCCUCACCCAGCUUCCACAAAACCACGGGCCGAUGAUUAAAACCUGGAAAUUAACAAUGAUCCUGUCCUAUUAAUAGACUGCACUAAAAUCUCACCAGUUGCUCCACUCGUGUUUUUUCCUUGUCUAGAUCUUACUCACAUUUAGGUGUCAUGUCUUGUUUGUCUUCCCCAGUCUGGGAUGGUCCCCAGUCUUUUUCUGUCUGUCAUUACUGUGAUGCUUUGGAAGAACUCAGGCCAGUGGCUUUGUGGCACAUCUCUCCUUUUGGGUUUCCCUGAUGGUUUCUCAGGAUUAGUUGGAGGUUCUGCAUUCUUGGCAGGACCCCCAUGGAGUGAUGCUGUGUCCUGAGUAUUUCAUCAUGUGGAUGUGUCCUCAUACAGGUGACAUUAACUCUGAUCGCUUGGUUAAGGUGCUGUCUGCCAGGUUUCUGCACUGGAAAGGUACUAUUUUUUUUUUUUUUUUUGGUCAAAGGAGCAGGGUAUAAAAGGCAGGGCAUGAAAUCUGAGAGCAGGCAUGCAUCAGGAAUUAGGAACCAGGAACUGGGAGCUGAGGCUGCUGCUCUCUGAGGAAAAGGAGACUUUCAAGAAGAUUUAAAAAGAAUGGAGAAAGAAGAUUCAAGAAGAUGAAGAUGUCAAAUGCCUCAUUGCAAAAUAUAGAUUGGAAAGUGUUCCUUUAAUUUGGCAUUUUGUGGGUCAUUUGUGAUUUUGGUAAAUUAUGCAAUGUGAAAAAAUAGACAGUUUCUUUCAAAUGGCAAGCAAUUAAAGAAAAAAAAGUCAUAAGUGUGGGCUGUAGCAACAGUGAGGCUCUUAUUGUUGUCAUUGUCUGACAGAAAUCUGAACUCUGAUCCCACAAAUUUCUCUGCUCCCUUUUCCCUGCUCACUUUGAACUGAAGAACCUCUUUACUCCUUCCUUCCUUUCCCUCCCUCUUAUCUCCUUGCCUCCCUGUAGAUUCCAUCACAGCUUCCUCCAUCCUUUUUUUUCAAUUAUACUUUAAGUUCUAGGGUACAUGUGCACAACUUGCAGGUUUGUUACAUAUGUAUACAUGUGCCAUGUUGGUGUGCUGCACCCAUUAACUCGUCAUUUACAUUAGGUAUAUCUCCUAAUGCUAUCCCUCCCUCCACCGCACAACAGGCCCCAGUGUUUGAUGUUCCCCUUCCUGUGUCCAUGUGUUCUCAUUGUUCAGGAUUACAGGCGUGAGCCACCGCGCCCGGCCCCUGACUUUUUAAUGAUCGCCAUUCUAACUGGCAUGAGAUGGUAUCUCAUUGGGGAACAUCUUAAAAGAAAAGCAUAUAAUUGCCAUUUGCACUUCCUCACCUCUUUAUCCACUCUUCAGCCUACUGCAAAUUGACUUUUGACCUCUUUAAUCUACUGAAAUGGCUCAUGCAAAGAGACUUUUUAUAAAAAUCACAUAUAAUUUAGAUUUUUUAUUUUCUGCAUAAAUCUCUUUAAUUUUAUGUGAUAAUACAGUGCAUGAUUAUUUGUUGAGCCGUUAAUUUUGUAUUAGCCAAAGAGAAAGUUGAACCUGUCAGUUAAACUGGGUGGAAUAAGAAAUAAUAUUUUAAAAUUAGCAGUAAAUAGAAACUUGCACAAUAAAAAUAUUUUUGUGUCACUUGAAAUAUUACCAUUGGUUGCAAGUUUUAAAGAUGUAAAAGGUGUCUUCUUUCACGUUCACUUUUUUUUUCAGUAGAGAUACUGACUGCAGGCAGCUUGCCUCUUUUGUUUUUUUGGCUUAUAGUCACAGUAUUUGAGCACAAAUUUAAUGAAGCAUUGUUUAAUUGAGACUUCCCUGUAGUGACACAACAAUAUUGCAAAUUUUUUUCAUAGGCAUUUCCUCACUUAAUUCUCAAACAAGUUUUGUCUUUUUUUUUUCAUCACGAUAUCUGUAGACAGGAUCAAACAACUUUUGAAGGGUAUUUGAUUUCCCCCUAUUUACAGAUUUAAGAAACUGAAACUCAAAAGAGACAAAUUGCCACAUUCAUCCUGCCACAGGGUGUGUGUGUGUGUGUGUGUGUGUGUGUGUGUGUGUGUGUGUGUGUGUGUGUUUUCUGACUCUAAACGUAGAGCAGUUUCUACUAUGCCCCAGCCACUUGGAUGUAGUAUGUGUACAAAAGUGACAACACGAUAUAGUGAUUCUUCAAAGUAGGUUUAUUGUUCUAAUUGACAUUUUUCUUCAAACAUUAUAGGAUUAUACAUUUCCAACAAUUUUAAGCAAUUUUGAUGCUUAUCAAAAUGUUGUAUAUUUAAUAAGUUUUUGCAUUAAAUGAGUUUAGGUUGGCAAUAAGGAACCACCAUAUACUUUAAUAGAUACUAUUUCAUACCACAGUUGUGUUGUCUUUAAUACAGAGAUGAGUGUUUAAUACUCUUUUGCAAUGGGAAGAAGUUAAAGGAGUUUGAGUUAAAAUAGUGAGAGAAAUAAUUGAAUAUGAUUGUUACCUUAAAUAUAGCCACAGUCUGUUGAUUUAAGCUUCAGUUAGUCCUAACAUAUUCAACAUAUUCAUAACAAAAUUUUUUGGGCAUCUCUGGCUCAUUUAUUAAUACCUAUGAACCUGCAAAACACUGCUGUAUUUGUAAGACUGAUAUGUAUGGGAUAAUGUAUGCGAUAAGCAAAAAUCUUAGUUUUCUAGCUAGCUUUUGAAAUGAAAGUAAUGGAAACAUGACUACUCAGAUUUAAAAAAACCAGGCUUUACCUUUCGUAGUUCAAUUUAUAUUAGUACAAAUUCUUCUCAAAGGUGGUCUCCUUGAGAAGGUGCACAGGCUACUGGAAAUAGUGAAGACAGUAAUAAGAAGAAGAUUAACUGGCUUACUUACCAAGAAAAUGAAUUCAGGAAAUUUGAUUCUCGUAGAGAUCUAGAACAAGCAAACAGGAUGAACAACCACUUAUUUUGGAAUAGUGUAUUUAAAUUUGAGAAAGAGUGAUCUUUUCUUUCUCCGAAGGGUUAAGAAUGUGAUCAAAAGCCUGGAGCUGAAAGAAGGAUAAUAUGUAUGGGAGACAGUGAGGACACUUGCCUGACCAGAGCAGGUGAACACCUAUGUACAAUAAAGCUAGAUUGUAGUGGCUGCAGUGGGUGUUGAAAUACAUGUUGAAUGCAACAAAGAGGUAUUAAAAUUUCUUGAAUGUUAAUAGAUUGGCCUAAUCCUGGGUUUUAGGCAGAGCAUCCUACAACCUUAACAAAUGGUGAAUUUGGAAGCAACUAGACUCAGGGAGAUCAGCUAUACUGUUUUGUAGAAUUUUGAAUUUCAUAAGCCAAUAAAGCUCCUAGAAAAUUCUUAAGGACUAACAUAUGGUUAUCAAUUAUUUAUCUUGAAGGAAAGAAUAUUUUAAAAACCCCAACAACAAAAUAUAAACAGUAAAUUACCACAUACUAUCUUCACUGUUUCAUACAGGAAUGAAAUUUUAACAUCAAAUCAGCAGGAAGGACAUACUCCCAGAGUAAAGGACACAACACUAAGAUGAAUAAACUUGAUGUUCUUAGAGACCUACCACAUUGCCUCUGUUUUCUCACUUUCUCCUCUACCUGUAACUCUGUGAUAUAGCUGCACAGAUACUCAGAAUGAUAGCUGAGAUCCACUGAGCUAAGAGAAUACCGUAAUUACUCAGGCAUAACAUAAUGAAAACCUGGGAAAGAAGAAGAAAGAAUAAGAGAAGGAAGGGAGAGGAUGGAAGAAUGAUAGCCCAUGGCAACAGAUUGAAUAUAGAAAGUAAAAGAAGAAAGUGAAAGCUACCUGCAAAAAUUAUACUAUGAUCUCAUGUCGUUUUUUGUUUGUUUGUUUUGUUUUGUUUUGUUUUUUGAGACGGAGUCUCGCUCUGUCUCUCAGGCUGGAGUGCAGUGGCGUAAUCUCGG
rnacentral:lncRNA from 1 species